CAGCAGCCGCGGUAAUAUCAGCCCCUCGAGUGGUGGGGAUGAUUAUUGGGCCUAAAGCGUCCGUAGCCUGCCGUGUAAGUUUCCCGUUAAAUCCAGCGUCUCAAGCGUUGGACUGCGGGAAAUACUGUACGGCUAGAGAGUGGGAGAGGUCAGCGGUAUUCUGGGGGUAGGGGCGAAAUCCUUUGAUCCCCGGAGGACCACCAGUGGCGAAGGCUGCUGUCUAGAACACGUCUGACGGUCAGGGACGAAAGCUGGGGUAGCGAACCGGAUUAGAUACCCGGGUAGUCCCAGCCGUAAACGAUGCAUGCUAGGUGUUGGGUUGGCCACGAGCCACCCCAGUGCCGCAGGGAAGCCGUUAAGCAUGCCGCCUGGGAAGUACGAUCGCAAGGUUGAAACUUAAAGGAAUUGGCGGGGGAGCACCACCAGGCGUGAAGCCUGCGGUUUAAUUGGAGUCAACGCCGGGAACCUUACCGGAAGCGACAGCAGAGUGAAGGUCAGAUUGAAGAUCUUACCAGACGAGCUGAGAGGAGGUGCAUGGCCGUCGCCAGUUCGUGCCGUGAGGUGUUAUGUUAAGUCAUAUAACGAACGAGAUCCGUGCCGCAUGUUGCCACCAGAAUCUAAAGGAUUGCUGAGCACUCUUGCGGGACCGCAGCCGAUAAGGCUGAGGAAGGUACGGGCAACGGCAGGUCAGUAUGCCCCGAAUCUCCCGGGCCACACGCGGGCUGCAAUGGUAUAGACAGAGGGCUGCCACCCCGAGAGGGGGAGCCAAUCCCUAAACUGUACCUCAGUUGGGAUCGAGGGUUGCAACCCACCCUCGUGAACAUGGAAUGCCUAGUAACCGCCGGUCAUCAUCCGGCGGUGAAUACGUCCCUGCUCCUUGCACACACUGCCCGUCGAACCACCCGAAUGAGGUUUCGGUGAGGAAUGGUCGAAUGUUGGCCGUUUCGAACCGGGGCCUCGUAAGGAGGGUUAAGUCGUAACAAGGUAGCCGUA
rnacentral:rRNA from 1 species